rnacentral:rRNA from 1 species
UACGUAGGGUGCGAGCGUUAAUCGGAAUUACUGGGCGUAAAGCGUGCGCAGGCGGUUCGUUAAGUCAGAUGUGAAAGCCCCGGGCUCAACCUGGGAACUGCAUUUGAAACUGGCGGGCUUGAGUAUGGCAGAGGGGGGUGGAAUUCCGCGUGUAGCAGUGAAAUGCGUAGAGAUGCGGAGGAACACCGAUGGCGAAGGCAGCCCCCUGGGCCAAUACUGACGCUCAGGCACGAAAGCGUGGGGAGCAAACGGG